CCUACGGGGGGCAGCAGUGGGGAAUAUUGGGCAAUGGACGAAACUCUGACCCAGCAACGCCGCGUGAAGGAUGAAGGUCCUCGGAGUGUAAAGCUCUUUUCGAAGGGAAGCAGAAAGCGACGGUACCUUAGGAAGAAGCCUCGGCUAACUACGGGCCAGCAGCCGCGGCAAUACGGAGGAGGCGAGCGUUAGCCGGAAGGGCUGGGGGUCAAGGGUGCGUAGGUGGGUAGGCAAGUUAGUAGCGAAACUCCAAGGCUCAACCUUGGAACUACUGCUAAAACUGUUGGACUUGAGUGCAGGAGGGGCAAGCGGAAUGCCUGGUGUAGCGGUGGAAUGCGUAGAUAUUAGGAAGAACACCGGUGGCGAAGGCAGGUUGCCAGCCUGUAACUGACGCUGAGGCACGAAAGCGUGGGGAGCAAACAGGAUUAGAUACCCUGGUAGUC
rnacentral:rRNA from 1 species